CCUACGGGGGGCAGCAGUGAGGAAUAUUGGUCAAUGGACGAGAGUCUGAACCAGCCAAGUAGCGUGAAGGAUGACUGCCCUAUGGGUUGUAAACUUCUUUUAUAUGGGAAUAAAGUGUUCCACGUGUGGGAUUUUGUAUGUACCAUAUGAAUAAGGAUCGGCUAACUCCGUGCCAGCAGCCGCGGUAAUACGGAGGAUCCGAGCGUUAUCCGGAUUUAUUGGGUUUAAAGGGAGCGUAGGUGGGUUGUUAAGUCAGUUGUGAAAGUUUGCGGCUCAACCGUAAAAUUGCAUUUGAAACUGGCAGUCUGGAGUACAGUUGAGGUAGGCGGAAUUCGUGGUGUAGCGGUGAAAUGCUUAGAUAUCACGAAGAACUCCGAUUGCGAAGGCAGUUCACUGAACUGCAACUGACACUGAUGCUCGAAAGUGUGGGUAUCAAACAGGAUUAGAUACCCCAGUAGUC
rnacentral:rRNA from 1 species